GCUGGGCAUGGUGGCGCAUGCCUGUAAUCCCAGCUACUUGGGAGGCUGAGGCAGGAGAAUCGCUUGAACCCAAGAGGUGGAGGUUGCAGUGAGCUGAGAUCACACCACUGCACUUCAUCCUGGGCGACAGAGCAAGACUCUGUCUCAA
rnacentral:SRP_RNA from 1 species